CACAAAUUAAACCAAAAAGAUCAAAGACAUAAUAACAAUAACAUGUAUAAAACAACAAUUUAUUUAGUUCUCAGAUAUUAUAAGCAAUAGGUUAAGAAUCUUUAAUGUACGGAAUUUGUAAAAUGUACAUGUCUGUCUAAUUGGUUUCAUAUGACCUUGACCUCAUUUUUGUGGUUCAUUGGUCAAUGACAGGUUUUUGUGGAUUAUCAGUUCAUCAGUUACUAUAAAUAGUAGGUCAAUUGUAGUUGGUUUAUUGAAUAAUUAUAAAGUGCACCUUCGGCUGUUG
rnacentral:lncRNA from 1 species